rnacentral:rRNA from 1 species
AUUGAACGCUGGCGGCAUGCCUUACACAUGCAAGUCGAACGGCAGCACGGAGCUUGCUCUGGUGGCGAGUGGCGAACGGGUGAGUAAUAUAUCGGAACGUACCCUAGAGUGGGGGAUAACGUAGCGAAAGUUACGCUAAUACCGCAUACGAUCUAAGGAUGAAAGUGGGGAUUCGCAAGAACCUCAUGCUCGUGGAGCGGCCGAUAUCUGAUUAGCUAGUUGGUAGGGUAAAAGCCUACCAAGGCAUCGAUCAGUAGCUGGUCUGAGAGGACGACCAGCCACACUGGAACUGAGACACGGUCCAGACUCCUACGGGAGGCAGCAGUGGGGAAUUUUGGACAAUGGGCGAAAGCCUGAUCCAGCAAUGCCGCGUGAGUGAAGAAGGCCUUCGGGUUGUAAAGCUCUUUUGUCAGGGAAGAAACGGUGAAAGCUAAUAUCUUUUGCUAAUGACGGUACCUGAAGAAUAAGCACCGGCUAACUACGUGCCAGCAGCCGCGGUAAUACGUAGGGUGCAAGCGUUAAUCGGAAUUACUGGGCGUAAAGCGUGCGCAGGCGGUUUUGUAAGUCUGAUGUGAAAUCCCCGGGCUCAACCUGGGAAUUGCAUUGGAGACUGCAAGGCUAGAAUCUGGCAGAGGGGGGUAGAAUUCCACGUGUAGCAGUGAAAUGCGUAGAUAUGUGGAGGAACACCGAUGGCGAAGGCAGCCCCCUGNGUCAAGAUUGACGCUCAUGCACGAAAGCGUGGGGAGCAAACAGGAUUAGAUACCCUGGUAGUCCACGCCCUAAACGAUGUCUACUAGUUGUCGGGUCUUAAUUGACUUGGUAACGCAGCUAACGCGUGAAGUAGACCGCCUGGGGAGUACGGUCGCAAGAUUAAAACUCAAAGGAAUUGACGGGGACCCGCACAAGCGGUGGAUGAUGUGGAUUAAUUCGAUGCAACGCGAAAAACCUUACCUACCCUUGACAUGGCUGGAAUCCUUGAGAGAUCAGGGAGUGCUCGAAAGAGAACCAGUACACAGGUGCUGCAUGGCUGUCGUCAGCUCGUGUCGUGAGAUGUUGGGUUAAGUCCCGCAACGAGCGCAACCCUUGUCAUUAGUUGCUACGAAAGGGCACUCUAAUGAGACUGCCGGUGACAAACCGGAGGAAGGUGGGGAUGACGUCAAGUCCUCAUGGCCCUUAUGGGUAGGGCUUCACACGUCAUACAAUGGUACAUACAGAGCGCCGCCAACCCGCGAGGGGGAGCUAAUCGCAGAAAGUGUAUCGUAGUCCGGAUUGUAGUCUGCAACUCGACUGCAUGAAGUUGGAAUCGCUAGUAAUCGCGGAUCAGCAUGUCGCGGUGAAUACGUUCCCGGGUCU